rnacentral:rRNA from 1 species
AUUGAACGCUAGCGGGAUGCUUUACACAUGCAAGUCGAACGGCAGCGCGGACUUCGGUCUGGCGGCGAGUGGCGAACGGGUGAGUAAUGUAUCGGAACGUGCCCAGUAGCGGGGGAUAACUACGCGAAAGCGUAGCUAAUACCGCAUAGGCCCUACGGGGGAAAGCAGGGGAUCGUAAGACCUUGCACUAUUUGAGCGGCCGAUAUCGGAUUAGCUAGUUGGGGAGGUAACGGCUCACCAAGGCGACGAUCCGUAGCUGGUUUGAGAGGACGACCAGCCACACUGGGACUGAGACACGGCCCAGACUCCUACGGGAGGCAGCAGUGGGGAAUUUUGGACAAUGGGGGCAACCCUGAUCCAGCCAUCCCGCGUGUGCGAUGAAGGCCUUCGGGUUGUAAAGCACUUUUGGCAGGAAAGAAACGUCGCGGGCUAAUACCCCGUGGAACUGACGGUACCUGCAGAAUAAGCACCGGCUAACUACGUG